rnacentral:rRNA from 1 species
UACGAAGGGGGCUAGCGUUGCUCGGAAUCACUGGGCGUAAAGCGCACGUAGGCGGAUCUUUAAGUCAGGGGUGAAAUCCCGGAGCUCAACUCCGGAACUGCCUUUGAUACUGAGGGUCUUGAGUCCGGGAGAGGUGAGUGGAACUGCGAGUGUAGAGGUGAAAUUCGUAGAUAUUGGGAAGAACACCGAUGGCGAAGGCAGCCAUCUGGACCGACACUGACGCUGAGGCGCGAAAGCGUGGGGAGCAAACAGG